rnacentral:misc_RNA from 1 species
GAUGAAGAACGCAGUGAAAUGCGAUAAGUAAUGUGAAUUGCAGAAUUCAGUGAAUCAUCGAAUCUUUGAACGCACCUUGCACCCUUUGGCAUUCCGAAGGGUAUGCUCGUUUGAGUGUCAUUGUACUCUCACACUCUCCGAUCCUAUGGAUUCGGGGAGCGGUGGACUUGGGUGUUGCUGCCUUUCCUUGUGGCUCACCUCAAAUGUGUCAGUGCACCUCUUGGUUGGACAUAGUACGGCGUGAUAAGUGUCUUCGCCGGCACCUCGCAAGAGGGUGGCCGAUCGGGAGCUCUGUGCUUUCAAACCGUCUUCGGACAAUUUCUGACAACUUGACCUCAAAUCGAGUAGGACUACCCGCUGACCUUAAGCAUAUCAAUAAGCGGAGGA